GUUUCAUUUAUAGAAAACAAAACCCUUCCCCAAAAGAGAUCUUCACCCAUCCCGAGAUGAAACCAUACCCAGAGCUCGCCCGUCGCCAUUGUUGCUCCCAAUCGCCGCAUGGCAGUCGCUGUCGCCGCUCCCUAAAUGUUUUUGCUAUACUGUGAGUACUUUUAUGGGCAGAUAUUGAAGUAGAAAAUGAAGAAAAAUUUGACUGCGAAAGAGAACAUCGCCUCCAAAAAAUAGAGGAAGAACUCCAAAAGUGAGAGGAAGAAAUCCAAAAAAGGAAGGAAGAACUCCAACAUGCAAGAGUACAGAUUCAAAUAUCGGAAGAGGAUAUCCAAAAUGAUUGAAAUGAGCUUCAUGGUGUAAUGAAAGAUAUUAACCAUACUCGCAUACAACCAUGCAUGUAUUGAGGACUUGCAAUUCUAAUAUUUCGUUGUUGCAUAGGAUCAAGAAUAGUUACAAAUUAAGUAAAACUGUAUCAAACUGUGUAAUGUUGUUAAGUAGGUUGUAAUAUAUAGGUUUACAAUCUUGUAAUAUUCAAACCCAUCAGUUGUAUAUGAAACUUUUUGAAUAUGUGAUAUCCUAUCACUUAUUGUCA